AGCAAAUGUUAGCUAAAAAGAGACUGAGCAAUAAGAUCAACUACGAUGUGCUAGAGAAGCUUUUUGAUGAUUCUGCACCUGAGAACCCAAAGAAAGCUCGAACUGCAUACGAUUCAACAGAUGAUUAUGGGGUAAAGAGCGACAAAAUUGAUCCAGAAGUAGAUGAGAAUUAUGACGACACAUUUGGUGAGGAUUUCCAUUCCGGUGAGGAUGUUGGAGGAUAUGGCUAUGAUCAAGACUAUGAUUUGGAUGAUUAUUGAAUUAAUCUGCCUUCCCCUUUGAGAAACAGAGGACACAAGAUGUGUAUUAGGAACUGUUGGGGUGGCUAACUGCAUCUGAAAGUUAUUUUCUUUUUAAUUAUCAUUGAUUAAUUUAUUUGCUGGAACACUUCCCAUUGCUGGAAUGUUAAAAAGUGUAUCAGCUUUUGGAAUGUUAAAAAGUGUAUCAGCUUU
rnacentral:misc_RNA from 1 species